AAGUCGUAACAAGGUUUCCGUAGGUGAACCUGCGGAAGGAUCAUUAAUAAAAAUCUUCUUGAAAAAGAAGUAAUUAAUAUUGCUGCAAAGCUUUAUUAUUUAUCUAUAAGUAUAGAGAUUUAUAUAGUAGAUUAGAUUUAUCUUUAUAGUUUUAAGCUAUAAAAAUAAAGCUGAUCAAACUGUAUUUAUUGAAAUACUUUUGUAACCUGAGGCGUAAAAACUUCAAACCAUACCACUUUAAAAAUUAAAAAAAUAAAAUUACAACUUAUAACAAUGGAUCUCUCGGCUCCUA
rnacentral:misc_RNA from 1 species